rnacentral:rRNA from 1 species
CCCUUAGAUGUUCGGGGCCGCACGCGCGCUACACUGAAGGAAUCAGCACGUCUUUCUCCUUGUCCGAAAGGACUGGGUAACCCGCUGAACCUCCUUCGUGCUAGGGAUUGGGGCUUGUAAUUCUUCCCCAUGAACGAGGAAUUCCCAGUAAGCGCGAGUCAUAAGCUCGCGUUGAUUACGUCCCUGCCCUUGUACACACCGCCCGUCGCUACUACCGAUUGGAUGGUUUAGUGAGAUCCUCGGAUUGGUCCCGGCGCGGCCUCUGGUCGUGCCGGAGUGCCGAAAAGAAUGUCGAACUUGAUCAUCUAGAGGAAGUAAAAGUCGUAACA